rnacentral:rRNA from 1 species
UGUCAUGGUAUUCAGGCUGCCCUACUCUCUAAUAGAUCUUAAUGAGCCUGCAAGUUAAGUAGGAAUCGGCCUGGAUAGUGCUUGGAUGGAAGACCACCUGGGAAGUCCUGGAACUUUGGCUA